rnacentral:rRNA from 1 species
AAUUUAAGCAUAUAAUUAAGCGGAGGAAAAGAAACUAACUAGGAUUCCCUCAGUAACGGCGAGUGAAGCGGGACUAGCUCAGGAUGUGAAUCUGCGCUUUUAUGGCGCCGAAUUGUGGUCUGUAGACCUUGACGUUAUUUGCCGGGCCAAGUUCCUUGGAAAAGGACAGCUGAGAGGGUGAGACUCCCGUCCGCCUGGUAGAGUGAGUCAUGUGUCAACGAGUCGAGUUGUUUGGGAUUGCAGCUCUAAUUUGGUGGUAAAUUCCAUCUAAAGCUAAAUAUUGGUGGGAGACCGAUAGCGUACAAGUACCGUGAGGGAAAGAUGCAAAGAACUUUGAAAAGAGAGUUAAAGAGUACCUGAAAUUGCUGAAACGGAAGCGAAGGAAACCAGUGUUUGUUGGUUCAUAUUUCCCUAGCCACUUGUGGUUUGGGCGCUGUGAGCUUGCGUGAGUUUGGGUUGGUUGAUCCCUUUGGAAGAGCGCAGACAGAGUUGAUGUUUGUUGCUAGCACUGGGUUUGACUGAUGCAGACGAAAUGGUUUUCUUUACCCCGUCUUGAAACACGGACCAAGGAGUCUAACAUAUGUGCGAGUACAGGGGUGUCAAACCUCCGUGCGUAAUGAAAGUGACAGUGGUUGGAUUAAUUUGCACAAUCCGCCGGCCUCAAUCCUUCGGGAGAACGGUCUGAGUGUGAGCAUACAUGUUGGGACCCGAAAGAUGGUGAACUAUGCCUGAAUAGGGUGAAGCCAGGGGAAACUCUGGUGGAGGCUCGUAGCGAUUCUGACGUGCAAAUCGAUCGUCAAAUUUGGGUAUAGGGGCGAAAGACUAA